rnacentral:rRNA from 1 species
ACGCUGUCGGCGUGCUUAACACAUGCAAGUCGAACGGAAAGGCCCUGCUUUUGUGGGGUGCUCGAGUGGCGAACGGGUGAGUAACACGUGAGUAACCUGCCCUUGACUUUGGGAUAACUUCAGGAAACUGGGGCUAAUACCGGAUAGGAGCUCCUGCUGCAUGGUGGGGGUUGGAAAGUUUCGGCGGUUGGGGAUGGACUCGCGGCUUAUCAGCUUGUUGGUGGGGUAGUGGCUUACCAAGGCUUUGACGGGUAGCCGGCCUGAGAGGGUGACCGGCCACAUUGGGACUGAGAUACGGCCCAGACUCCUACGGGAGGCAGCAGUGGGGAAUAUUGCACAAUGGGCGGAAGCUUGAUGCAGCAACGCCGCGUGCGGGAUGACGGCCUUCGGGUUGUAAACCGCUUUCGCCUGUGACGAAGCGUGAGUGACGGUAAUGGGUAAAGAAGCACCGGCUAACUACGUGCCAGCAGCCGCGGUGAUACGUAGGGUGCGAGCGUUGUCCGGAUUUAUUGGGCGUAAAGGGCUCGUAGGUGGUUGAUCGCGUCGGAAGUGUAAUCUUGGGGCUUAACCCUGAGCGUGCUUUCGAUACGGGUUGACUUGAGGAAGGUAGGGGAGAAUGGAAUUCCUGGUGGAGCGGUGGAAUGCGCAGAUAUCAGGAGGAACACCAGUGGCGAAGGCGGUUCUCUGGGCCUUUCCUGACGCUGAGGAGCGAAAGCGUGGGGAGCGAACAGGCUUAGAUACCCUGGUAGUCCACGCUGUAAACGGUGGGUACUAGGUGUGGGGUCCAUUCCACGGGUUCCGUGCCGUAGCUAACGCUUUAAGUACCCCGCCUGGGGAGUACGGCCGCAAGGCUAAAACUCAAAGGAAUUGACGGGGCCCCGCACAAGCGGCGGAGCAUGCGGAUUAAUUCGAUGCAACGCGUAGAACCUUACCUGGGUUUGACAUGGAUCGGGAGUGCUCAGAGAUGGGUGUGCCUCUUUUGGGGUCGGUUCACAGGUGGUGCAUGGCUGUCGUCAGCUCGUGUCGUGAGAUGUUGGGUUAAGUCCCGCAACGAGCGCAACCCUUGUUCACUGUUGCCAGCACGUUAUGGUGGGGACUCAGUGGAGACCGCCGGGGUCAACUCGGAGGAAGGUGGGGAUGACGUCAAGUCAUCAUGCCCCUUAUGUCCAGGGCUUCACGCAUGUUACAAUGGCUGGUACAGAGAGUGGCGAGCCUGUGAGGGUGAGCGAAUCUCGGAAAGCCGGUCUCAGUUCGGAUUGGGGUCUGCAACUCGACCUCAUGAAGUCGGAGUCGCUAGUAAUCGCAGAUCAGCAACGCUGCGGUGAAUACGUUCCCGGGGCUUGUACACACCGCCCGUCAAGUCAUGAAAGUUGGUAACACCCGAAGCCGGUGGCCUAACCGUUGUGGGGGAGCCGUCGAAGGUGGGACUGGUGAUUAGGACU